rnacentral:rRNA from 1 species
GAGGGCUUAACUGUCUCCUGCAGCCAAUCAAUGAAAUUGAUCUCACAGUACAAACGCUGUGAUAUAAUUAUAAGACGAAAAGACCCUGUGGAGCUUUAAAUUUUACAUUAACUAAAUAUACCUUAGCAUAAUGUAAGUUUUAAGUUGGGGCGACUAUGGAGUAUAACUAAACCUCCACGCAACACGACUAAACCCUGUCACACAAGGCUAACAAGCCAAACUAAAACACACGAUCCAGUCAAACUGACCAUCGAACUAAGUUACCCCAGGGAUAACAGCGCCAUCCCCUUAAAGAGUCCACAUCGC